rnacentral:lncRNA from 1 species
UUGUGUGAUGACUCUAAGGAAUAUGAGGUAAAUAACCUCUUCCCCCCCCCCUUUUUUUAAUAACUUAGGUCCAUUUAUGAACUAUAAGAAGGAUUCAGUAUGUGUCAUCAUUUUCAUAAAAGGAAGGAAAUCAGCAAAGUAGCCCAACUCUCUGGGGAAGAUGCAAUGUCAACAAUUAGGAAGAGCAAGCUUGAUCUAAAGGAUGCUGAGAUUGGAGCAAAGUAGAGGCUGAAGAAGGACAGGAUUCUCUGAGACUCUGUCAGAGGGACCAAAUGAGGUAGGAAUGAGAACAAGUGAGAGGAUAAGAGAAUGCUGGCAAGGCAAGAGGAU